rnacentral:rRNA from 1 species
AAUAAGCUAAAUAAGAGCGUAUGGGGAAUGCCUAGGCUCUCAGAGGCGAUGAAGGACGUGAUAAGCUGCGAAAAGCUGCGGGGAUUGGCACAUACAAAUUGAUCCGCAGAUAUCCGAAUGGGGCAACCCAGCAUGUUGAAGACAUGUUAUCCGUAAGGAGGCGAACCCGGAGAACUGAAACAUCUAAGUACCCGGAGGAGAAGAAAACAAAAGUGAUUCCGAUAGUAGCGGCGAGCGAACUUGGAAUAGCCCAAACCAGUAUUGUCACGGCAAUACUGGGGUUGUAGGACUGCGAUAUUUGAGCUAUAAUGAAUUAGAACUGUUUGGAAAGACAGGCCAUAGAAAGUGAUAGCCCUGUAUAAGUAAAGAUUAGUAAGAUAGCAGUAUCCUGAGUAGUGCGGGGCACGUGAAACCCUGUAUGAAUUU